GUAUCUCACAGGAUAUGAGAAGAAAUUUCCACAGGCACAUUAACAUUUUCCAGUAGAUGCGAGUGACUUUGUGAGCAGAAUGAUGUUCUCCCUUCUUAGGAGACCCACACUGACCUGGUCCACGUUGAUGAAAGACGUUCAGCAAAAUCACAGGUCAACCAUCUACAGCAAGCCGCCCAAAGAAAACAUCGGGCCAGUGCAAUCUUUCUUUGCCAUAUGUGUGUUUGCUGUGACUCUCUUGGGCCCGGCUGGAUGGAUCUUGCAUCACAUCCCAGACUACCGACAGAGAUCACCUCCACAAACCUGACUCCCAUGCACACAUGUUACUGUGUGUGGAUUUUUCCAAUGUGUAUGUCAUGAAGGGAAGUAAAACUUGAUGAUGAAACUGUUUACCCUCUAUAAAGACUUUGAUAUAA